CAUGCAGUCGGGCGGUAGCACAGAGAGCUUGCUCUCGGGUGACGAGCGGCGGACGGGUGAGUAAUGUCUGGGAAACUGCCUGAUGGAGGGGGAUAACUACUGGAAACGGUAGCUAAUACCGCAUAACGUCGCAAGACCAAAGAGGGGGACCUUCGGGCCUCUUGCCAUCAGAUGUGCCCAGAUGGGAUUAGCUAGUAGGUGGGGUAACGGCUCACCUAGGCGACGAUCCCUAGCUGGUCUGAGAGGAUGACCAGCCACACUGGAACUGAGACACGGUCCAGACUCCUACGGGAGGCAGCAGUGGGGAAUAUUGCACAAUGGGCGCAAGCCUGAUGCAGCCAUGCCGCGUGUAUGAAGAAGGCCUUCGGGUUGUAAAGUACUUUCAGCGGGGAGGAAGGUGUUGUGGUUAAUAACCACAGCAAUUGACGUUACCCGCAGAAGAAGCACCGGCUAACUCCGUGCCAGCAGCCGCGGUAAUACGGAGGGUGCAAGCGUUAAUCGGAAUUACUGGGCGUAAAGCGCACGCAGGCGGUCUGUCAAGUCGGAUGUGAAAUCCCCGGGCUCAACCUGGGAACUGCAUUCGAAACUGGCAGGCUAGAGUCUUGUAGAGGGGGGUAGAAUUCCAGGUGUAGCGGUGAAAUGCGUAGAGAUCUGGAGGAAUACCGGUGGCGAAGGCGGCCCCCUGGACAAAGACUGACGCUCAGGUGCGAAAGCGUGGGGAGCAAACAGGAUUAGAUACCCUGGUAGUCCACGCCGUAAACGAUGUCGACUUGGAGGUUGUGCCCUUGAGGCGUGGCUUCCGGAGCUAACGCGUUAAGUCGACCGCCUGGGGAGUACGGCCGCAAGGUUAAAACUCAAAUGAAUUGACGGGGGCCCGCACAAGCGGUGGAGCAUGUGGUUUAAUUCGAUGCAACGCGAAGAACCUUACCUACUCUUGACAUCCAGAGAACUUUGCAGAGAUGGUUUGGUGCCUUCGGGAACUCUGAGACAGGUGCUGCAUGGCUGUCGUCAGCUCGUGUUGUGAAAUGUUGGGUUAAGUCCCGCAACGAGCGCAACCCUUAUCCUUUGUUGCCAGCGGUUAGGCCGGGAACUCAAAGGAGACUGCCAGUGAUAAACUGGAGGAAGGUGGGGAUGACGUCAAGUCAUCAUGGCCCUUACGAGUAGGGCUACACACGUGCUACAAUGGCGCAUACAAAGAGAAGCGACCUCGCGAGAGCAAGCGGACCUCAUAAAGUGCGUCGUAGUCCGGAUUGGAGUCUGCAACUCGACUCCAUGAAGUCGGAAUCGCUAGUAAUCGUAGAUCAGAAUGCUACGGUGAAUACGUUCCCGGGCCUUGUACACACCGCCCGUCACACCAUGGGAGUGGGUUGCAAAAGAAGUAGGUAGCUUAACCUUCGGGAGGGCGCUACC
rnacentral:rRNA from 1 species